rnacentral:rRNA from 1 species
CACGUAGGCGGACAUUUAAGUCAGGGGUGAAAUCCCAGAGCUCAACUCUGGAACUGCCUUUGAUACUGGGUGUCUUGAGUAUGGAAGAGGUGAGUGGAAUUCCGAGUGUAGAGGUGAAAUUCGUAGAUAUUCGGAGGAACACCAGUGGCGAAGGCGGCUCACUGGUCCAUUACUGACGCUGAGGUGCGAAAGCGUGGGGAGCAAACA